CUAGUAUUAUUCUAGUUUUAUAAGAGGAUUGUCUUAAAAUUUUAGCAUCGGAUAAAAAUAAAACUUUAUUGAUUAAUAGUUAAGGAUGGAGAUAGAGGAACAUUAUGAAUUAGGGUAUUACUAUUCCCAAAUUACAUUGCUAUAAAUUUAAUUAGUAUACACGUGCAUUAGAUGAAAAUCUUUUAAUAGUGACUUAUACAUUUCUAUGUCUUAACCUAGACAAUAUAAAUAAAAUUGAAAUACUAUACACCCUCCCUAUGUGUCCAAAUCAGAGCGAGGCUACACCGGAACACGAACACCAAAACGCAACACCUGAGAAACUGAGCUCCCAAGUGCUCAGUCAAAUAACAAAUAACAGGGUGAGUUUAUGUAAUAGGCAAAAAAAAAAAGAAUAGGAAAUAUACAACAAGGUAUAAACAUGAUUAUAUCACAUUAAUAAUUCAUGCAACAUUUAUACCAUUUAAUCAACACCUCAAUUUACACAUCACUAAUCAAUUAAUUAAAUCAAUCAUACAACAUUAAUUACUUAGAAUAUCGGAGAUAUAUUACUAAAUAUCCAACUCAUCAUUACACAUCAUUUAGCACCCACUAAUUAACACACACAAAUUAUCACUUAUCAUUUAGUGUGCAAUUAUGCAAACAUCAAUUAACAAUUUAUCAGUCACACAACAUUUCAUCUAUUGAAAUUAAGUAUGCAAUGUCUCCCUAAACACGACUUAUAUUCAUGUGGUACCCAUCAUCAUAAUUUUGGAAAACUGAUUCCAAAUGUUUUAGAUCAUCGUCUCUAAAACAACAGUAAACUAGAUCAUCGUCUCUAGAAUACUCAUCAAUAAACACCACUUAUGAAUGCAUGAAUGUGCAUAUACCAAACAUAUGGUUUUAUCUCAACUAUAACAUCAACAUAAUAUGGAUAACUUAAUCCAAAUAUUCUAAAUCAUCGUCUUUAGAAUACACCUACGCAUGAUAAAUCCUUAUUUAUCAUCAUCAAUAAAUUGAACAUCCUAGUUAUAUUCAUGAACAAUCACACCUUGUCAUUGUGCAUAAGCACGAAAACACCGUCAUUGUGCAUACGUGCGAACACAUCACUAAUACACCAAAAGAAUUCAUACACCAAUAAAAUUCAUCAUUUAGUACACAAAUAGAAUUCAUCAAUAAUCCACGUCAAUGAAACUUCAUCAAUAAACUCACAAAUAAAGUUUAUCGAUUAAAUACAUUAACUAACACAUCAAUUUAGUUUCAUUCAUAUAUUCAUCACGAAUAUCUUUUUGAAGAUUAGAUAAAAUAAUUUAGCUAAUCCUAACUCCACUCAACUACAUUCUCUAUAUUUCCCAAAAUUCUUACUUAUUCUUUACUAGAUUCGUUUUAAUUCGAAAACAACUUCUCCUAAUUAAUCACUAAGUUUUAUCAUGAAAAGUAGUGAUUUAAACUCUCCUAAACUCACCUAAUAAUUAGGAUAAAGUAGUAUAAAGAUUAGGGAUAAAAAGGGAUGGGAAAAAUAGACCUAACAUCACACAACAACGCAAACCAGAGUUGCAGGACUGCGAUUUGCGCAUGAUGCGCUAGCUUUGCGCAUGAGGCGCAAAAGACAGCAUCCACCUUCAGAAUUUUGCAGGUUUUGACCUGCUCACUGCACAGACCAUAAGUUGAGCUACGUAUAUCGGAUUUCAAUGCGUAAACAUGAGUUGAAAAUCUAAGGAAAAGAUCUACAACGUUUAUGUUGACGUCAAAAAUCAGUUCAGAACGCAAAGGGCUCAAAUUUUAACGUUUUUGCUUCAGACUUUAUCAAAAACUGUUUUUCUUAAACUAUAAAAAUUCAAUCUUUGAUUUUCCAAAAACCCAAUUUGAAUCCCAUUAGUCCUAAGAUUUAACUAAUCAACACUCAUGAUAUUUGAACCUCAACAAACAUCAUUCCAUCAACAAUCAACCCCAAAUCAGCAAGAUUCAUCAUCAUUAAUUCAUUAAAUCAUAUAAAAACCCAUUUUUCUCAAAAAACACACAAAUGAACAACACAACAAGAUAACAUGGAUUUUCUCAUAUAUGAUUCAAACAUGAAUCUAAAAGCAUCAAUAAGAUUAUUCACAACUAAAACAACAACCUACACCCAAGGGUUUUAUCACAAAACCCAAAUCUAAUGAGAGGGAUGAAGGAUCUUGGGAGAUGAGAAUGAAUUUCAUUCUCUCCCUUCAUCAACCAACCUCUACCCAUAAACAAAACUCCCCUUACCUCUAAUAAAAUGGAGAAAUGUUGGUAAGUUGACUUGAUCAAUCCUUGAAUUCCUCUUCUUUCUCUUUGUUCAUCUUCUUAUUCUUCCUCGCUAACUUUCUCCCAAACCCUUUUCUUUCUCUAUUCUCUUCUUUCUCUACGUUUCUUUUCUAUCUCUACCUCUUCUCAAUUCUCAAUU
rnacentral:lncRNA from 1 species